rnacentral:lncRNA from 1 species
CGCCGACUGGUAUUUCAGAGCCACCGGGAGCGACCACCUCCCUCACCUCAAGGCCAAGAUGAAGAGAAUGUGUACGUGUGUUCUUCGCGUCCACUUCUUUCUUUGAUUCGCGAUCGAACUGAAUAGUGGCUGCGUUCACAAACAUGAUCAAGGCACGCUCGCAUUUGAUUUCGUCAGGUGACAGGUCGGGCAUCAGGAAGCGCUACUUCCACCACAGCGAGAGGAUGAUCCGCGAGCACCCCGCCUUGCUCGGCCGUGACGAGCUGCCGUCGCUCAACGCGAGGCAGGACAUUCUGGCGGCCGCCGUGCCCGAGCUCGCCGCGGCUGCCGCCGAGGACGCCAUAGCGGAGUGGGGUCGCCCGGCUAGCGACGUCACCCACCUCGUCGUCUGCACCUACUCGGGCGCCCACAUGCCGGGUGCCGACCUCCGCCUCGCCUCCCUCCUUGGCCUCCGGCCCACGGUCUGCCGCACCGUGCUCUACCUCCAGGGCUGCACCGCCGGCAGCGCGGCGCUCCGCGUCGCCAAGGACGUCGCCGAGAACAACCGUGGCGCGCGCGUCCUCGUCGCCUUCGCCGAGCUCACGCUCGUCAUGCUCCGCGCGCCCGACGAGGCCCGCCCCGGCACGCUCGUCAUGCAGUCCAUGUUCGGCGACGGCGCCAGCGCCGCCGUCGUGGGCGCCGAGGCCGAGGAGCCCGUCGAGCGCCCGCUCUUCGAGAUGGUCUCCGCCUACCAGGACGUGAUACCGGAGACAACCGACAGCCGCGCGGCGGGGCAGCUGAACGAGGACGGCUUGGUGUUCCAACCGUCCAGCGGCAUGCCGGCGCUGGUGCGCCAGAAUAUCGAGCGGUGCGUCGCCGACGCGCUGGCGCCGCUCGGCCUCCGCGGCGGCGGCGGUGGGUGGAACGAGCUCUUCUGGGCGGUACAGCCCAGCGGGCGCGCGAUCUUGGACGGCGUCGAGGCGGGGCUGGCUCUGGAGCCGGAGAAGCUGGCGGCGAGCCGCCGCGUGCUGAGGGAGUACGGGUACAUGUCCGGCGCAUCGAUGCUAUUCGUGCUGGACGAGCUCAGGCGGCGCCAUGUUGGCGGUGGAUGGGACAACAUGCCGGCGGGAGGGAUGGGGGUGAUGGUGGGGAUCGGGCCGGGGAUCUCCGUGGAGACCAUGGUGCUGCGCGCGGCGAACAGCAGCCAGAGUAGGAACGGGGUUCUGCGUUCACCAUGGCAGUAGAUUUGAUUCGUGGGUCAUGGCUUCAUACUUUGUCACAUCUUACCCCUUUCCUCACCAUUUCCUCCUCUUUCUCUCCAGCUGCCCGAAAUUUGUGAAAAGGAAUUCCGUAUAAGGGAAUAAAGGGGAAAGGGGAACUCUUACAUCUUAAUAUGUACUCUAGAAUACUCGUGCGUUGUUACGGGUCCUACUGGUUCUCAAGUCAUUCAACUGGUGAAUAAAAUCAUACACAACGGACC